rnacentral:rRNA from 1 species
GACGAACGCUGGCGGCGUGCCUAAUACAUGCAAGUCGAACGCAGUGGGGACGGGUGAGUAACACGUGGGUAACCUCCCAUCAGAGGGGAUAACACUUGGAAACAGGUGCUAAACCGCUACUGAUGGAUGAACCCGCGGUGCAUUAGCUAGUUGGUGAGGUAACGGCUCACCAAGGCCACGAUGCAUAGCAGACGUGCGAGGGAGAUCGGCAACACUGGGACUGAGACAAGGCCCAGAGUCCUACGGGAGGCAGCAGUAGGGAAUAUUCGGCAAUGGACGAAAGUCUGACCGGUCAACGCCGCGGGAGUGAAGAAGGUUUUCGGAUAGUAAAACUCGGUGGUUAGAGAAGCGGGAUCUAACCAGAAAGCCACGGCUAACUACGUGCCAGCCGCCGCGGUAAUUC